UACGGGGGGAGCAAGCGUUGUUCGGAUUUACUGGGCGUAAAGGGCGCGUAGGCGGCCACCGCAAGUCGGUUGUGAAAUCUCUGGGCUUAACCCAGAAAGGUCAACCGAUACUGCGGGGCUAGAGUGCAGAAGGGGCAACUGGAAUUCUCGGUGUAGCGGUGAAAUGCGUAGAUAUGUGGAGGAACACCGAUGGCGAAGGCAGCCCCCUGGGCUAACACUGACGCUCAUGCACGAAAGCGUGGGGAGCAAACAGG
rnacentral:rRNA from 1 species